CCACUAUAUUUUGCUAUGUUGUUGCCUGAGUUGCUAAUUUCACCUUAUACGCAAGAUAUGGAUCAGGCGGUGUUGCUGAUGGAAUGGCGAGGGUUUUUAUUGUCCUUGUGUUUGUUUGUUAGUCUGGUUGAGUCCUUAUGUGUUCCAGAGAGUCUCUGGUUGGUUAGUUCAAAUGGAGAGCAUACUUCAGUUUACAGCUGGACGAUAUGUAGUGCUAGCGUUUUUGUUCUCGUUGCACUUGUUCUAUCUAUGUACCUCGUCUUUCAGCAUUUAGCAGCUUACAAUCAGCCUGAGGAGCAGAAAUUUAUGAUCGGACUCAUUUUGAUGGUUCCUGUCUACGCACUAGAAUCGUUUCUGUCACUAUUGGAUUCAGAUGAUGCAUUCAACUGUGAGAUUAUCAGGGAUUGUUAUGAAGCCUUUGCAUUGUAUUGCUUUGAGAGAUAUUUAAUAGCCUGUUUAGGUGGUGAGGAUAGUACAAUAAAGUAUAUGGAAAGUCAAAGUAUAAUGAGCUCUAGCAUGCCUCUUUUGGAAGAAUCAUAUGCUUUUGGAAUUGUAGAACACCCCUUCCCUCUCAAUUGUUUGUUGAAGGACUGGCAUCUCGGUGCUGAGUUUUAUCAAGCUGUGAAAAUUGGCAUUGUUCAAUAUAUGAUUUUGAAACUGAUUUGUGCACUAGUAGCAAUAGUCUCUCAGUUUUUUGGUGUUUACGGUGAAGGGAAAUUUGAGUGGGGUUAUGCAUAUCCAUACCUGGCAGUUGUUUUGAAUUUCAGUCAGACCUGGGCAUUGUAUUGCCUGGUGCAAUUUUAUUCUGUUAUUAAGGAUAAGUUGGCGCCUAUCAAUCCUUUGGCCAAGUUUCUCACAUUCAAGUCCAUAGUAUUCCUGACAUGGUGGCAAGGCAUAGCUGUUGCAUUCCUUUUCUCCAUGGGAGCCUUUCAAGGAUCCUUGGCAAAGGAGUUGAAAACACGUAUACAAGAUUAUAUAAUCUGUAUAGAGAUGGGUAUUGCUGCUGUGGUGCACCUUUAUGUUUUUCCAGCAAUACCAUACAAGCGUGGAGAGAGAUGUGUACGAAAUGCUGCUGUAAUGUCUGAUUAUGCAUCUCUUGGAACAAAUCCAGAUCCCGAAGAAGUUAAAGACUGUGAAAGAUAUACCAGGGCACAAUUAAUUUCCUAUGCUGACAGGGAAAAGCGGUUGAAUUUCCGGCAGAGUGUUUGUGAUGUUGUCAUCGGCAGUGGUGAAAUUAUUGUUGAUGACAUGAAGUACACAGUUUCACACGUUGUAGAACCAGUUGAGAGAGGAUUUUUAAGGAUUAAUGAAAAAUUCCAUCAGAUAUCUGAUAAUGUCAAGCGAUUGGAGGAGGAAAAGAAGAAGGCUAAGGAUGAUAGUUAUGUAAUCCCGUUGAGUUCCUGGUCAAAAGAGUUCUCAGAUGUCCACGAGGACCUGGCAGAAGGGAGUUGCAGUGACAGCAGUUUGAGUAAUGUCAAGCGGAAGUAUAGUCAAUCUAAAGAAUCAGUAUCUCGAUUUAAAAAUGCAUAGAUCCCGCCAUUAUUCAGGGUGAGAUGCUUGUCUGGCAAUGCAAUGUAAUUUUCAUUAUUCAGGUUUGUCUGUGCAGCCUGCGGGGCAAAUUACUGGGGAGACGAGCAACUUCACUACAUUUACCUUGCAAUAUAAAUUGACUUUUUAAUCCUGAUGAAAUUUGGUGAAGCUGGAAGAGGACACAUCAUGGCGGUCAGGAAAAAAAUAAUAGGUGACUGUUCUUAUACUUGAUAGAUAAAAAGUACUUGAAGAAUGAAAAAGAUAUACUCAAGGAUUGGAGAUAACUCACAGGAAAGCGGAAAUGCAUAAACAGUGCUUGUUCAGUCACCUCUCCUACACCAACAGGAACAAAUGCCAUUUAUAUGUCAAUUGUAUUAAUUUUCAUGUGGAAAUAAAUUGCUAAAUCUUACAAAUGUAUAGGGUCGUACAGAUGCUUUCACUAGCAAUGGCCUUUAAAGUGGCCCAGAUGCCUAUGUUAGAGCAUUUCCUACCGCCUACUAGUGUAUAUAUGCCAUGCUCGUAAGAACCAUUUUUGGUGCC